rnacentral:lncRNA from 1 species
ACGCUUUCUCUCUUCUUUCAUUCCCUCUCUCUGCGUCUCUCACACUCUCACAGCCGGCGGACGUCGCCGGUUCUCGUCGCCUGCGGCGCGGCGAAGCCGACACCCCUUCUUCCCCUCCUUCCUUUCGUUCCCUACCUCUUCUCCUGAAUCUAAAAUCCCCAAGUUGAAAUAGAUCUAGGGAUUUCUAUUUUCAAUUCACGUUCUCCGGUGAGUUCCGCCACUGCCGCCGCCGUCUCCGUCGCACCACCGCCACUUCCGACUCAGGUAAACCCCCUCUCUCUUUCUUUCUCUCUCGCUACCCUCUCGAUCUCCCCCGAUGUCGCUCUGCUUUCUCUUCUGUCCAUCUCUCUCUCUCUUCGUUUCUCAGUCUCUUUCCCUCGCUCAAACUCUCUGUUGUCGGCAGCCACCGCGGACCGCCGUGGCGUGGGCAGCGCCGGUGGUCGCUGCCGCCAGUUGCGCCUCUGCCGUGGUGGCUCGCGGCUGCUGUUGCCUCUUCCCUUCCNCUGUUCUAAUUCUUUUCCCCAUCUAUUCUAAUUGGUUUUUCUGAAUUAAAACUCUUGAUAACAGAGAUAGGUGCUCUCCAAUAAACAUUGCCGGCUGGAGGCGUUAUCAACAGGGCCGGCCCUGACAUUCUGGGGGCCCUAGGCGAAAGGAAAAAAAAAAGGUCCCCUAGAAAAUGAAGCUUCAUAAUUUUAUAGCAAAUUUGAGAUAGCUGCAUAUAUAACUAACAUUAUUAUAAAGUGCAAUAAAUCAUAAAUUGUAGUAACCCGCUCUUUUAAUUUAUUAAAACCAGUAAUGCAAUAAUUAAUUAUUGCAUCUUUCAGUGUUGAUCUUGAUUAAUUUUGACUUAUGACUUUGAGUUAUGUAGUACUGGAAGCAGAGUUAUUAUUUUAUUUCACGUGAGAAAUCGCGAGAUGGAUUAUUGAGCCAGUCAAUCGUUAUUAUUUUUACUAUUUCAAGAAUUAUAACUGACUUAGCGAAGUCAUGUUACUUAUUAAGUGCAAUAGAAGUAUUAUUUAUAUUAUUAGUUAUUAUUAUUAUUCUUGCUUAAGUCGUGAAUUUAUUCCGGCUUGUGAGGAUGAUUAAAUCUUCGGAUUUAAUUUAGAUAUUAGAUGAGCAAACGAAUUAAAUCUAUAGAUUUAAUUUAGAAUUAUUUUUACAGACUAUCGAUAUUAAUAUCGAGCAGAUACACCAUCACACGUUACAUAUUACAGUUAUAAAAAUUCUUUCCUAUACUCCUAUUACACACCAGCUGCAUCAUCAAAGGAGAAUGAGUAAAAGAAAGAAGAAAAGAAAUAGGAGAAAGAAAGGAAAUAGGGAGGAAAUAGGAGAAGAAAGAAAAGAGAGAGCAUGCGUGUGGCUGAAAUAGCUAGCUGCCAGCCGCCCAACAACUGUUCCAAUCCCCCUGCCACUACACCCUACCACCUACUUAGCACAAUCAAGUGCAAGCAACCCUUUGCCUUCUCUUUAGUCUCUAAUACCAGCCAACAUCAAACUCCAGCCAACAAUUUCUUCACACUCUUCACUUAAGGAUUCCAAGAAUAGCAGAAAUCUGCAUUCCCUACUCUGCUGCAACAUUCAAGUUUUCCAGUCCAGAAAUACCUAACAACCAAAGAAACAAGGGGAGCAUUUAUUCACUGCCCUGCGGCCAUCUUAAGGUGAGUUUUGGCUACAUUCUUCCAUCUUAUACCUAGCAUCACCUGCAUAUAUUGAAAAGCAAAAACUGCUAAAUUAUUUCAGCCAUUCCAGUUCGUUAAACUCAGCGACAGCGACAAACAGCCAACCAACAUUCAUUCUCAAGGUAUUAAUUCUAUUUCAGAUAUCCAUUCUAGUAAGCAUUCAUACCAAGCAUAAUCAGUUCCAGAUGAUAUAAGACUCACAUAAGCAUGAUAGACAUAACAGACGCAGACUUUAUCAUAUAGAACACCAACCUCUAUUGUUGAACAAGUGUCAAUAAGAAUUCGAGUCAAACGAGCAUAGUAUGAGUCACAUGCGAAUGAGAGUUUAGACUGCAUCUGUUUAUAUUUUGUCGUUGAGAACCGAAAAGGAAAAGAAGGAGCAAGAUGUCUACUUAGCUUUAGGAAGGAGUGGGCGACUGCCCUGCUUCGAAUCGGGAAGACGGCGCGACGACGGAGCCUCCAUUGACGUCGGAACUAAAGAGUCGCAGGAGGUGGCAGACAUCGCCUACUCGCUGGAAUCGUACAACGGCAACGACCGGGACGAUUCUGACUUAGGCAUUUAGGACUUCCUUUUUCUCACCCCCUUCUUUCGGCUUGUGAGAUACGAUGGAGAGAGAGGACGGAUGGACGGCGACUGUAAAUCGCCGGGUUUACAGAACGCCGGGGCGCCGAGCAGAGAGGGAGACGGUUCAAAAUCAAAGGGGGAAAUUAGGGCUGCUCGUUUGGGGAUCCCCAUUAAAUUGAGGAAGGAGGGAGGACGAACGAAGGCGGCGGCCUCAGAGACGCAGACGACGGCCGUUCGCCGGACACCCAAUUGCAGCGGCGACGGCGACCUUCAAUUCGUGAAUUAGGGCUCGCUCUCCUCGCCUCGGACGAACUGUCAGCAAUAGAGAAGAUAAGGAGAGAAAGGCGGGUGCGGCCACGCCGGACCUAGGAUCGGCGGUAGCCGACGCCGGUCGGAGCAGAGGCGGCGGCUGCAACCUCGACUGAAGGGGAGAAGUCGACUGUUUUGGGUAGGAGUUCUCGACUGAUGCUGAGAGAAGAGAGAGAGCCGACUGUUUGAAAAAGAUGAGAGAGAGGACCGAUCAUGAGGCGGGUUGGGCCUUGAAUUAUUUUACUUUGGGCCGCUUUUUGACUUCGGGCUGAAUUUUAUUAACUCAAGCCCAGUUGUUUUGUUUAAGGAUGAGCCUGCUUCACUUUAUUUUCAUUGGGCUGCAUCCAUUUUUCUAUGUUGGGCCGAAUUAUAUAACUCUAUGGGCCGAUUCUUUUAUUUUGAGCCCAGCUGACUUCUUUUAAUUGGACUGUUUUUAAGCAUUCAAUUAGACUCUCAUUUAUUUUCUUUGGGCCGAGUUUCUUUAAUUAUUUGGGCCUCUGCAUCUUAUGCAAUUUAGCCCAGAUUAAUUUUCAUUUUAUAGUUUGGGCUUGUAAUUAUUUCAGUAAUUGGACCAUUUUCCUUGGGCCUGUUCAAUUAUUUUACUUGGGCCCAGAAUUUUGUUAUUUUGGUUGGGCUGUUACUAUUUUAUUUGGGGCCCAAAUUUAUUUAGUUAUUCGAGCCCAUUAAUCAUAUUUCAAUUGGGCCUCUCAUAUUAUUUAUUCAAGCCCACUUAUACUUAACUAAUUAUUAGGCUGCCUUAUGUUGGGCCUUCUAAUUAUUCGAACUUACAGUAUUGCUAUUGUUCCUACUUUAGCCCGGUAAUUUACAAGGUUACAGCGAAUAAACCGAAGUAUUUAUUUAUUUCCUAUCAAUACCACGAGAGAGGUUUAUUUAAUUGGCGGAUUAGAACACCCUGAAGAGAACGGAUUAAUUUUAGUUAAUUAUCCGGCUUCAUGAGACGAGACUUAGCUUUUGUUUAAAUCCGAUAGCUUGGAUUAACAUUAGAAAUUCCCUGAUUAUUAUCUCAGAAUAAUAAUUCAUGCAUAAGAGGAUCAUGCAUCGUUAAUUUCGUAUUCUCAUUAUUUGUAGGUAUUUUGCUCGAGCAGUAUCUUAUUUAUAUUCUCGUAAUAAAGGUCAAGCACGAGAUUAAUAAUCAAUCAAGGAGCUACUGUACCACAGAAAGUUUCUAUCAGGUGGGCAUUACUUUCAUAUAUACCAAAUGAGUUUUAUAUUACAGUUGAACAAGUUAUUUCAUGACAAAAUCUUUGAAUUGAAGUUAUUUCAAGUAUUGUCUUGCCAUAAAAUGUUUCAAUUUCAGUAUGAUAUCUAUCUGAUGUGGCUUUGUCAAUUAUGUAAUCGAAUUCGGGUCCUGAGCAGUUGAUAGCUAUCCUGCCAGGGCUAGUGUACACCCAGGGCCGUGAGUCAUCGAGCGGGUUGGCCGGUCAAGUGUCCGUGAGAGGUGGCCACCUCUCCGGCACACAGCUUCAGAUAUGAUAGAUUAUGAGAACUUAGUCUGAUCAGACGAACUUUAAGAAUCACAAUGACUUUAGUAGGCUUGGGCUCUUUUAACGAAAACUCCCUUGCUGUACUGUUUAUGAUGGCAUGACAAUUUACAAUUUAUUUAGCAUGUAUUUUUAUACUUAGGCAUACGUGCCCACUGAGUAUUUUUGUACUCAGCCCUGCAUAUAUUUCUAAAUGUGCAGGUUGAGCAGCUGGUGGUGGUGAUGAAGUGACGAGCGGAGUCUUUUGUCUUAUCCUUAUGUAAUAAUGAACUCUGGGAUACAUGUCUUCAUACAUGUAUCAGAACCUUAUUCCGCUGCGUACUCAGAGUAUUAUGUUGUUUUGGCUAAGUCGGAAUUAUCCGAACUUACUAGUUUAUUGUAGUCAAUAUGACUAAACCUCCGUUAUAUUUAAUUAUUCCUUUGUUAACAAUGAUUAAAUACUAUCCUUCCUUGUUCAAUUAUUCGGCGCGGCGAAGCCGCCCCCUUCUUCCCCCUCCUUCCUUUCGUUCCCUACCUCUUCUCCUGAAUUAAAUCCCCCAAGUGAAAUAGAUUAGGGAUCAUUUAAUUCACGUUCUCCGGUGAGUUCCGCCACUGCCGCCGCCGUCUUCGCAACCGCCUCUUCAAGUAAACCCCCUCUCUCUUUCUUUCUCUCUGCUACCCUCUCGAUUCCCCCCGAUGUCGCUCUGCUUUCUCUUCUGUCAUUCUCUCUCUCUUCGUUCUCAGUCUCUUCCCUCGCUCAAACUUCUGUUGUCCAGCAGCGGACGCCGUGGCGUGGGCAGCGCCGGUGGUGCUCCGCCAGUUGCCCUCUGCCGUGGUGGCUCGCGGCUGCUGUUGCCUUUUUCCUCUGUUUAAUUUUUUUGGCCUUGUAUUCUUUUUGGUUUUUCUGAAUUUAGGGGUCCUUAGGCGCUUGGUGCUUUCCCUAUGCAAUUGCCGGCGAGGGUUAUCAAUCCGACGAGGCUGCCUUAGUUCUCACUGUUGCUGUUCGAAUUUCAUCUAUUCUUCUUUUUGUAUUUAUUCAGUUAUUAACUCCUUGUAACGCUGGAAUUUCUUGUAAAAAAAAUACUCUAGAUGCUAACGAGAUUGUAUUAUUGCUUCGUAUAUGAUUUAAGGGUAGGUGUAACUAUUAUUUAUAUCUGUUGUUCUAUACAUAUUGAAUGAAUUAGCUGUGAUAAAGAAAUACUACCUGCUUGACGAAGGUGAAUUGAACUGCCGUGUAAGAUUAUUGGGGACGAUUGGUGAACUGGACCGAGUUGCAGGGUAAAAAAAAAUGGCUGAUCGUGAGAAGGAAAAUACUUAUACUAUCUCUAAGUCGGUUUGGAAAACAGCUGAGUAAUGAGUGUAGAGCCACGUGUUGCUUGAGCAGCUAAUCUACUUUAAUAAUCCAAUUUGCACAAUUGCACUAAUAAGAGUAGGUUAAUCUACUGAUUUAAAAGAGUUCAACUUGGGCCUCUUCUCAUAUACCUACAUAACCUUUGGCCCAAAUAAUAAAAUAUUGGGUUUAACUUCAAAAAUUCAUAUAAUCACUUGCCCAAAUAAUAUUUAUUGAGCUUUUUGCAUAAAAUUGAGACCUCUCUUUCUUCUUUAAAAUAAUAGAAAAUAAUCAAAAUAAUAUUAAUAAUAUAUAUAUACUGUAGUGAAAAUG